UAGGGAAUAUUGGACAAUGGGCGCAAGCCUGAUCCAGCCAUGCCGCGUGAGUGAAGAAGGCCCUCGGGUUGUAAAGCUCUUUUGUCCGGAAAGAAAAGCAUCGGGCUAAUACCCUGGUGUUCUGACGGUACCGGAAGAAUAAGCACCGGCUAACUUCGUGCCAGCAGCCGCGGUAAUACGAAGGGUGCAAGCGUUACUCGGAAUUACUGGGCGUAAAGCGUGCGUAGGUGGUUUGUUAAGUCUGAUGUGAAAGCCCUGGGCUCAACCUGGGAAUGGCAUUGGAAACUGGCGGACUCGAGUGCGGUAGAGGGUGUGGAAUUCCCGGUGUAGCAGUGAAAUGCGUAGAGAUCGGGAGGAACACCAGUGGCGAAGGCGACACCCUGGACCAGCACUGACACUGAGGCACGAAAGCGUGGGGAGCAAACAGGAUUAGAUACCCUGGUAGUCCACGCCCUAAACGAUGCGACUGGAUGUUGGGUGCAACUUGGCACUCAGUAUCGAAGCUAACGCGUUAAGUUCGCCGCCUGGGGAGUACGGUCGCAAGACUGAAACUCAAAUGAAUUGACGGGGUCAUAGCUGUUUCCU
rnacentral:rRNA from 1 species